UAGCAAUCAAACUGGAGCCAUUAAAAUCCCGUGCCCCACAGCUGCAUUUAGAGUAUAGGUUUUAUAAACACAUUGGCUGUACAGUUGAAGGCUUCCCCCAAGUGUAUUGCUAUGGGCCAUGCGGAAAGUAUAAUGCCAUGGUACUUGAACUCCUUGGUCCAAGUUUGGAGGACUUGUUUGACCUCUGUGAUAGAACAUUCACUCUGAAGACUGUCUU